rnacentral:rRNA from 1 species
GACGAACGCUGGCGGCGGGCUUAACACAUGCAAGUCGAACGGCAACGCACUGCUAUCGUGCGCUUCUCGAUUGCCGAACGGGUGAGUAACACGUGAGUAACCUGCUCUUCACUUUCGGAUAACUUCACGUAACUAGGCCUACUACAAUAUAGGAGCUCCCGUUGCGUGGAGGGCAUUGGAACGUCGCGGCGGUUGGGGAUGGACUCGCGGAUGAUGAGCUUGUUGGUGGGGUAGUGGCUGACCAAGGGUUUGACGGGUCGCCGGCAUGAGAGGGUGACCGGCCACAUUGGGACUGAGAGACGGCCCAGACUCGUACGGGAGGCAGCAGUGGGGAACAUUGUACAAUCGGCGGAAGCCUGAUGCAGCAACGUCGCGGGCGGGAUGACGGCCUUCGGGUUGUAAACCGCUUUCGCCUGUGACGAAGCGUGAGUGACGGUAAUGGAUAAAUAAGCACCGGCUAACUACGUG